UUUUUAGCAUAAAUAUGUUCCAUGCAAUAUUUGGGACAUAACUUAUACUAAAA
rnacentral:pre_miRNA from 1 species